rnacentral:rRNA from 1 species
CAUCUCUUUUUGAAUAUAAUCUAAGGUUUAAUCUGCUCAAUGAAAUUUAAAUAGCUGCGGUAAUUUAACUGUACAAAGGUAGCAUAAUAAAUUGUUUUUUGAUUGUGAACUUGAAUGAAUGAUUGGACGAGAAAUUGACUGUCUUUAUUUAAAAUUUUGAAUUUAACUUUAAAGUAAAAAGGCUUUAAUUUUUAUAAGGGACAAGAAGACCCUAUAGAGUUUAAUUUUUUUUUGAUUAAGGAGGUUUAUUAUAAUUGAGUUUUUCUUAUUGAUUAAAAUUUAGUUGGGGUUAUUAGAAGAUUAAAACAAUUCUUUUUUUAUAAAUCAAUUAUUUUUGAUUUAUAUAAUAUUUUUUAAAAAAUUUAAAUUUAAUUACCUUAGGGAUAACAGUGUAAUUUUAAUUUGAAGUUCU